rnacentral:lncRNA from 14 species
UCUCUCUCUGACUAUCUGUCCAUGUCUCUCUGUCUCUGUCUCUGUCUCUGUCUCUGUCUCUGUCUCUGUUUGUCUGUCUGUCUCUCUCUCAUGUGUGUGUGUGUGUGUGUGUGUGUGUGUGUGUGUGUCUAUUAUGAAGGUGGAGGGGAGGUAGAAAGACUCCUUUAGAAAGUGGAGUAGCUUUAGAGUCCCUGUCCAAGAAGCCCAGGGAGUUGGAAACUGUGCCAGAGGGAGAAGGCAAAGGCAGCAAGCGUUCACAGGCCUUGUCCUUCACCCUGUCUUUCACAGGGAACUCAGCAGGAUACAGAAGAAAAAAUGCCAAUGGAAUUAACCAACCAGCUCUCUUCUCUGGAGUCCAGGGUGGCUCCAUUGAGAUCCCUUUUUCCUUCUGCUUCUGCUGGGAGUUGGCCAAGUAUUCACAGAUGAGCAUAGCCUGGAGAUGGAAAGACUACCAUGGGAAAUUCAUCUACAACUCCACUCUACCUUUCAUUCAUGAGCACUUCAAGGAUGGGCUCAUCCUGAACUGGACACAGGGUCAGAUAUCUGGACUCCUCAGAAUCCUUAACUUGAAGGACAAUGACCAGGCCACAUACUUCUGUAACAUCUGCCUGAGCACCACAGAAGAUAGGAAGAGAUGGCAGUGGAUUCCUGGGACCCAACUCUCCAUCGUCCAUGCACUCAGCACCACCAUGAGGAUCCCCUCCAUCAUCUCUUCU